UUAGUCACAGGCUGGGUGAGCACAGAGUGUGGCUAGAGACCAGGGAAACAGGAGUCAUUGCCUGCUUUUCCCUGAGGAUGCACUGAGGAGGUGCCUGACCCAGCUCCCC